GACGAACGAGGGAGGAGGGAGGACAAAAGGCAACUCGAACGGAAAGGCCCUGCUUGCAGGGUACUCGAGUGGCGAACGGGUGAGUAACACGUGGGUGAUCUGCCCUGCACUUCGGGAUAAGCCUGGGAAACUGGGUCUAAUACCGGAUAGGAGCCAUUUUUAGUGUGAUGGUUGGAAAGUUUUUUCGGUGUAGGAUGAGCUCGCGGCCUAUCAGCUUGUUGGUGGGGUAAUGGCCUACCAAGGCGGCGACGGGGUCGCGGCCUGAGAGGGUGGACGGCCACAUUGGGACUGAGAUACGGCCCAGACUCCUACGGGAGGCAGCAGUGGGGAAUAUUGCACAAUGGGCGCAAGCCUGAUGCAGCGACGCCGCGUGGGGGAGUUCUUGCUUGGGGUUGUAAACUCCUUUCGCUAGGGACGUAGCUUUUUGUGACGGUACCUAGAUAAGAAGCAUCGGCUCCCUACGUU
rnacentral:rRNA from 1 species